rnacentral:rRNA from 1 species
GAGUUUGAUCGUGGCUCAGGAUGAACGCUGGCGGCGUGCCUAACACAUGCAAGUCGAACGAAGCAAUCGGGAUGAAGUUUUCGGAUGGAUUCCUGGUUGACUGAGUGGCGGACGGGUGAGUAACGCGUGGAUAACCUGCCUCACACUGGGGGAUAACAGUUAGAAAUGGCUGCUAAUACCGCAUAAGCGCACAGUACCGCAUGGUACGGUGUGAAAAACCCAGGUGGUGUGAGAUGGAUCCGCGUCUGAUUAGCCAGUUGGCGGGUACGGCCACCAAAGCGACGAUCAGUAGCCGACCUGA